rnacentral:misc_RNA from 1 species
CUGAAUAUAAAUGGGGUUCGCUCGGAAAAUCCUCGCGGGCAAAUCCGCGGGUAACAGCUAGUUGAUGUAUAGACUAUAGAAAAAAGUGAUUACUUUGCAUUCGCAAUGAAUAUGAGUUGUGAAGAGGAAUACUUCUAUAAUUUCAAACAAAAGUCGGAAAUUUUUUAUAAGGUUCUGAAAUUUAGAUGUGAAAUGCCAACAUUUCCAGUUCCUCUUGCAUUUUUAAAAUCACGUAUUAAAGGAGGUAAACAAUUUCAGAUUUUCCAAGUGAAGGCAAAGGUAUUUUCUUUAUUUUUUCAUUUAACAGAUAUGUUUUUAGUUUCUUUUACAUAAACUUUAUCAGACGGCAUUCAAACAACAGGAGAAUAAAAACUAUUUUAAAUCCUUUCUUUCUCUCUGUCUACACGAAACCUCUUACAUACGACUGUAAUGGGAAGCCCCAAUCCCGAGAUAUCUCGGGAAAGUUACAUAGCGUUACAUAAAACGCGGUCCUUAGUUUUAAUUUUUGGAAUGUUU